UUCCAGACUCCUACGGGAGGCAGCAGUGGGGGAUAUUGCACAAUGGGGGGAACCCUGAUGCAGCGACGCCGCGUGGGUGAAGGAGCGUUUCGGCGCGUAAAGCCCUCUCGGCAGGGAAGAAGGAGGACGGUACCUGACUAAGAAGCCCCGGCUAACUACGUGCCAGCAGCCGCGGUAAUACGUAGGGGGCAAGCGUUAUCCGGAUUUACUGGGUGUAAAGGGAGCGUAGACGGAGAAGCAAGUCUGAAGUGAAAGCCCGUGGCUUAACCACGGGACUGCUUUGGAAACUGUUUGACUAGAGUGCUGGAGAGGUAAGUGGAAUUCCUAGUGUAGCGGUGAAAUGCGUAGAUAUUAGGAGGAACACCAGUGGCGAAGGCGGCUUACUGGACAGUAACUGACGUUGAGGCUCGAAAGCGUGGGGAGCAAACAGGAUUAGAUGCCCUAGUACUC
rnacentral:rRNA from 1 species